GGGUAUAGAAAUAUGGUCAUUUGGUCUUCUCCCGACCGGCAGUAAAACGCUUGCCGAAGUGGGGCGUCCGUUUGGCUGUGCGGGAUGUAUCAAGUUCGCAGUCACGUCCGGUCAGAAGGGGGACGUUAAAUCCGAUGCCUCGUGUAAAGAGAGUGCUAAGAACCCUUGCAACAACUCUUUGAGGGGUCCGUAGGUGGCCUGUUGCAAGGCAAAAUUUCUGUCUCUAUCCUAUAUACCCUCAUUUUCCAGUGGCAGUCCAAAUUUCCCCG
rnacentral:lncRNA from 1 species